UUAUUUUAGCGGCGGACGGGUGAGUAACGUGUGGGUAACCUGCCUUUUACUGGGGAAUAAUCACUGGAAACGGUGACUAAUACCGCAUACGGUUCUUGGAAGGCAUCUUCUAGGAAAGAAAGGAUUUAUUCGGUAAAAGAUGGGCCCGCAUCUGAUUAGCUAGUUGGUGAGAUAACAGCCCACCAAGGCGACGAUCAGUAGCCGACCUGAGAGGGUGACCGGCCACAUUGGGACUGAGACACGGCCCAAACUCCUACGGAAGGCAGCAG
rnacentral:rRNA from 1 species